CAGAAACCUGUUCACCAGCUUAGUGCUGUUGUUGCAACUGCGUUGUUUUUUUCUGGACAAUUCCAGGGACUCAAAAAGAUGAAGUUUCCAGUGGAAGACAUGUGGAUGUGCCCUAUAAAUGUUGGAGCUCACUGGAUUUUGGUGAUUGUUCGCAUCUCAGAAAAGGUACUUGUGGUGAUUGACCCACUGGCAAACGAAGGUGCCUGUGAGCGUAAACUACUACGAAACUGGAGGAAUUUCUUGAGGAUGACAGAGUGUGGCGACCAGGGAGCAAAAUGGACAGUACAAACAAUGAAGCACAACAAGCAGCAAGAUACCAGCAGCUGUGGCAUUUAAGUGUUGAUGUUUGCAGAAGAGUAUCUGAAGAGGGGAGACAUCAGUACUGUCCAGUCAUCUCCACAAGCUUUUCAGAAGGCACGAUUUGAGGUGGCUUGUGCAUUGCUUCAGUGUAAAGGGAAUGUAGAGGAAUACUGUGUGGUGUGCUCCUUCAUCCAAAAUGAUACAGAUGAAAGCAUGAUUGAAAUGGUGCAGUGUGAUUCAUGCAACAGGUGGGCACAUUUUCAAUGUGCCCAAUAUGAC